rnacentral:rRNA from 1 species
GACGAACGCUGGCGGCGUGCCUAAUACAUGCAAGUCGAACGCAGUGGGGACGGGUGAGUAACACGUGGGUAACCUCCCAUCAGAGGGGAUAACACUUGGAAACAGGUGCUAAACCGAUACUGAUUGAUGGACCCGCGGUGCAUUAGCUAGUUAGUUAGGUAACGGCUCACCAAGGCCACGUUGCCUAGCCGGCCUGAGAGGGGUAUGUGCCACACGUGGACUGAGACCCUGCCCUGCCUCCCACGGGAGGCAGCAGUAGGGAAGUUUCGGCGAUGGACGAAAGUCUUACCGAGCAACGCAGCGUGAGUGAAGAAGGUUUUCGGAUCGUAAAACUCUGUUGUUAGAGAAGCGGUAUCUAACCAGAAAGCCACGGCUAACUACGUGCCAGCAGCCGCGGUAAUAC